rnacentral:snRNA from 1 species
AAAGUGGCAGGGGAGAAACCAGGACCACAAAAGUGGUUUUCCCAGGACAAGACUUACCCAUUGCAUCCCAGAUGUGCUGACCACUGUGAUUUUCCCAAGUGUAAAAAACUCAGCUGCAUAAUUUGUGAGGGGGGAACUGUGUUCGUGCUAUCCUCUU